rnacentral:rRNA from 1 species
GACGAACGCUGGCGGCGUGCUUAACACAUGCAAGUCGAACGGUAAGGCCCUUCGGGGUACACGAGUGGCGAACGGGUGAGUAACACGUGGGUGAUCUGCCCUGCACUUCGGGAUAAGCCUGGGCAACUGGGUCUAAUACCGGAUAGGACCACUGCCUGCAUGGGGGGUGGUGGAAAGGUUUUGCGGUGUGGGAUGGGCCCGCGGCCUAUCAGCUUGUUGGUGGGGUGAUGGCCUACCAAGGCGACGACGGGUAGCCGGCCUGAGAGGGUGACCGGCCACACUGGGACUGAGAUACGGCCCAGACUCCUACGGGAGGCAGCAGUGGGGAAUAUUGCACAAUGGGCGCAAGCCUGAUGCAGCGACGCCGCGUGAGGGAUGACGGCCUUCGGGUUGUAAACCUCUUUCAGCACCGACGAAGCGCAAGUGACGGUAGGUGCAGAAGAAGGACCGGCCAACUACGUGCCAGCCGCCGCUGUAA